GUCUACUCUGCUCAAUGAUAAAAAAUUAAAUAGCCGCGGUAUUUUGACUGUGCAAAGGUAGCAAAAUCAAUAGUUUUUUAAUUGAAGACUGGAAUGAAGGAGGAGAUGAAAUUUUAACUGUCUUUAAAAUAUUAAUUGAAUUUAAUUUUAAGUAAAAAUUCUUAAAUAAUUUUAGGGGACGAGAAGACCCUUUAGAAUUUUAUAAUAAUUUUAUUAAUUAAUAAUUUAAUUAAAGUUAUAAUUAAUAAAAUUAUUAUUUAGUUGGGAGGAUUAUUAAAUUUAAAAAACUUUAAAAUGAAAAAUUAUUCUAAUUAGAAGUUUUAUGAGUUAUAUUUAAAUAAUUUAAGAAAAAUUACCUAAGGGAUAACAGCGUAAUAUUUUUGGAGAGAUCUUAUUAAUAAAAAUGAUUGCGACCUCGAUGUUGAAUUAAAAUAAAAUUUGAAUGGAGAAGUUCAAUAUUU
rnacentral:rRNA from 1 species